AUGCAAGUCGAGCGGUAGCAUUUCUAGCUUGCUAGAAGAUGACGAACGGCGGACGGGUGAGUAACGCGUAGGAAUCUGCCUAUUAGUGGGGGACAACAUGUGGAAACGCAUGCUAAUACCGCAUACGCCCUACGGGGGAAAGGAGGGGAUCUUCGGACCUUUCGCUAUUAGAUGAGCCUGCGUGAGAUUAGCUAAUUGGUGGGGUAAAGGCCCACCAAGGCGACGAUCUCUAGCUGGUCUGAGAGGAUGAUCAGCCACACUGGGACUGAGACACGGCCCAGACUCCUACGGGAGGCAGCAGUGGGGAAUAUUGGACAAUGGGCGCAAGCCUGAUCCAACCAUGCCGCGUGUGUGGAGAAGGCCUUAGGGUUGUAAAGCACUUUCAGGAGUGAGGAAGGGUAUGCAGUUAAUACCUGUAUAUUUUGACGUUAACUCCAGAAGAAGCACCGGCUAACUCUGUGCCAGCAGCCGCGGUAAUACAGAGGGUGCGAGCGUUA
rnacentral:rRNA from 1 species